AAUGUAAUUAUUAUGGUUAACAUGCAUUUUGAAUAUUGAUUGGAUUUAUUUUAUAGGGUCUCCCACUGAGCCUGUUAAGCUCACUUCCCUAUUUUCUAUCUUUUCAGAUAAUCCAAUAGACUAGGACGCAGACUCAACUCAUGGAGGGUCUCAGCUUAUCGUGGUCUAAAGAAUGCUAUUAUUAUCAUUAUUGUUGUUGUAAUACUCAAUUUUUGCCCGGCCUAUAUUAAAACAAAAAAAUCCAAAAGUCUAAAAAUAAUAAUUAGCCCAAACCCUAAAAUUACAUUGGCCUGAAAAAAACAAAAAAAUAAUAACCCUAUAAGUCCAAUUUACAAAACCCAUUUCCGUGGCCCAACAAUCAGUAAACCACCCAAAACCCUAAACGCCUUUCAACCUCUGUCGCUCCCACGCACAGCAGCUCCCACG
rnacentral:lncRNA from 1 species